GUGGGACAGGGAGCUGUGGGAGGAGAGUGCCCAGUGGGACAGGGAGCUGUGGGAGGAGAGUGCCCAGUGGGACAGGGAGCUGUGGGAGGAGAGUGCCCAGUGGGACAGGGACUGUGGGAGGAGAGUGCCCAGUGGGACAGGGAGCUGUGGGAGGAGAGUGCCCAACGGGACAGGGAGCUGUGGGAGGAGAGUGCCCAGUGGGACAGGGAGCUGUGGGAAGAGAGUGCCCAGUGGGACAGGGAGCUGUGGGAGGAGAUUGCCCAGUGGGACAGGGAGCUGUGGGAGGAGAGUGCCCAGUGGGACAGCGAGCUGUGGGAGGAGAGUGCCCAGUGGGACAGGGAGCUGUGGGAGGAGAGUGCCCAACGGGACAGGGAGCUGUGGGAGGAGAGUGCCCAGCGGGACAGCGAGCUGUGGGAGUAGAGGGACUGCUCCCAUGCUGUCUCAGAGGGACUGAGGCUGAGGGAGCCUGGGCUUGAAGAGGUGCAGAGGGCCAGGGACACGGCCAUCAGAAGCCUGAGACUACAGGAGGAGAAGACCCACAGUCUGGGGGCCCAGAGGCAGGAGCUGUCUGUCUGCAGCACAGCCUGGAGGGCCUACAGGACAGCUUGCCCAGAAGGAGGAGAUGGUCGUGGUUCUCAGAGUGAAGCUGCAGGACCAUGAAGAAGAUGCCCAUGUUCUCCGCCAACAACUGCUCUCCUCCCAAGAUGCACUGCAGGAAGUUACUGCCGAGCUGAGGUCAUAUGUAAAAGAGAGAGGGAAAGCAGGAUAGCCAGUGUGUGGAGACAAGAGGAGAGACUGCCUGAGAUCAGAGCUGAUCUGGUCCAACUACAGCAGCAGUAUACCACCUGCUAUGCCCAGCUGGUCCAGGAGGAGGCUGGGGUGGGCAGGCUGAGGGAGGAGCUGCGUGAGGUGGGGGAACAGAGGGAAUGACUGGCUUCUCAGGUGACAGAGAACCUGGACCUGAACCAUGACCUGGACCUGAGCCAUGACCUGGACCUGAGCCAUGACCUGGACCUGAGCCAUGACCUGGACCUGAGCCAUGACAUGGACCUGA